CAGUAGCCACGGUAAUACGAAGGGUGCAAGCGUUACUCGGAAUUACUGGGCGUAAAGCGUGCGUAGGUGGUGGUUUAAGUCCGUUGUGAAAGCCCUGGGCUCAACCUGGGAAUUGCAGUGGAUACUGGGUCACUAGAGUGUGGUAGAGGAUAGUGGAAUUUCCGGUGUAGCAGUGAAAUGCGUAGAGAUCGGAAGGAACAUCUGUGGCGAAGGCGACUAUCUGGGCCAACACUGACACUGAGGCACGAAAGCGUGGGGAGCAAACAGGAUUAGAUACCCCCGUAGUCCCUGUCUCUUACAC
rnacentral:rRNA from 1 species